AUCUCAAAAAAAAAAAAAAAAGUUCACCAUUUUUUCCCAUUCUUUCUUGCAAUUUUUCCACAGUUACGAAAUUGGAUGUGCCACACAACAUGCUCUUCAGCUGGUCGGAAAACAAAAGUAUUUUUUCAAGGCCUAGCUGAGUGUUGUGUCAUUUUCUGCAUGCACUUGUGGGCCCACAGCUGAACGGGAGGCAAAGAGAUGCAAAAAGUGAGCUGACUAGCAGGACUAAUUCCUGUACUCUAUUGUCAUGGGAUUCGCUUUCAAUCCCAUUCAGAAAACCAUUCAGCAGAGGGUAAAGCGUGUACUCCGGGUACGCACAGGUGGGCAUGAACUGGGGACAGAGGUGAGUCCUGGGGACAUACAACUGGAUGGAACAGCUGUGCAUGUGAGCCUGGUUCUUGCUUGUUCUGACCUGACCCAUUUUUCUGUUUUUCCUUUUUUUUUUCCAGGCUUUCUCCAUAUUUACGUGCUUGUAACUCUGGCAUGACCUUUGCUCCAGCAUGACCAGAGGGCGGCACCUGGAUUGAAGUGGAAAAGCCCUGUUUUCCAGCCAUGACCCAGGGAGCAAGCAGCGACUCCUCAGGGGAACAGGAGACCUGCCAACUAGGACCCUGGGAGCCUCCAUGUUGGCAGUGCCCUGUGUCGUCUCGGGCUCACCAGCAAAUCCUCGGGGGAAAGCAGGGCUGGAGGGGGAGGAAACCCAGAAGCGUUCCUGGCUCCAAAUCCCUCUCUGAGGCUCCCGAUACAGAUGCCCAGGCCCCACACCCAGAGACUCUGAGGAUUUUUGUUUAUCGUAUGUAAAAGACUAGUGUAUUUUUGUUUAAGUCUCACAGGUAAACAAGUUCUCUCAUACUUUGUCAAGGGAAAUGUAAUCUGUGCAAUUUGGCAGUAACUAUCAGAAUUUUAAAAGCGUAUGCCCUUUGACCUAGUAAUUUCACUUCUAAGAAUUUCCCCUGCAGAGGUAUGUAUACCUUGUAUGAAAUGAAGAGGCUAUGAAAACAGCCAACGCCGCAGUGUUUAUAAUAGCAAAGACCGGACACAACCCACGUGUCUAAAGGUUCUGAUGUUUAAAACUGUAGUAUAUCUGUACAAUGAGCACUCCACAUCCUUUAAGAAUGAGGAAGGGCUGUGUGAACUGAAAUGGAACUAUCUCUAAGAUGUAUUAAGUUAAAAAAAUCCAAGAGUAGCACAAAGGAGGGUAUGCCCUCCUUUGUAUGAUAAAAGGUCGUAUAUCUGCCCAUCUCAAAUGAGGAACAGUGGUUGCCUCUGGGAAGGGAACUGGCUGGCUAGGAAUGCGGUAGGAAAGAGCUUUGCUUUUCAGAACAUUUUAUACCAUUUAAGUUUUGUCACAAGGGCGCCUAUAUUGACUUAAAAGAUAAAAAAUGAAAAGGAAAGGCUCUGCUCGUGAUUCUGAUGCUCACAAACAUUAAGAACCAAUGCGAAUGAGGAACUCAUGAGACCGCCCAGGAGAGAGUGAACAUGUCUCUUCAAAUAUCAAAAACCAUUCAGCAGAGGCUGAGAACACGUGCCUGGGCUGUGCUGGCAGGGUAAGGUUCUUCACCUUCCCCAGAGAAUCUCAAGGAACCGGACCGAGUUUGUUGCAGUUCAGCCCAGUUGCGGUUGUGGGUAUCUAGAGCAGAGGCUGAGAGUUGAACCUUCAUAUUUACUCUCUCCUGCCAUACUAAUAGCAUUUUUAGUUGGGCAACACCCUUCCAUGUACAUGUCCCUGGAGAGACCUAGAGGGGGACAGGUGAGGGCUGAGGGCAGGGAGAGCUGGUGACUGCAGCGCAGCUGUGCCUAUAAAGCAGGAGAAGUUGUUUUUAAGAUUCUGCUUCUCUUUGGGAUUCAGCAUCAACACUUGGCUCACAGGUAAGCCCUCCCUCUGAAGAUCCCAAAUGUUUUGCUGUUUUCAGUUUUCACCUGUCUUUUGAUGGAGUGGAAGCCAGUUCCCUCCCUGGGAUUAAUAUUCACAACAAGCAGCAAGCGAUUAAUUUAACCAGUUGAAAUUUAUUGUGCCUUCGCCUUAACUCAAAGCCCAAUUCUGCUGGGUGUUUAUUUUUCACUGUUGAUGCAUUGCAGAUGACAGCCCCUAAGCAUCUGAGUCGAAAGCACACCAUGCUACAGAGGUCCUGCUCCGGCCUCCCGUUCCUCUUACCUGACCCCCUGAAAUCUAGAGAGCUCUCUAAGUUCCACACCAUGUCUCACUCAGAAAAACCAAUUCUUGACUGCUAGUCUCUAGGAACAGUUGGGAUCCAAGAGCCAGUUUAAGAUUUUGGUUUCAUGCCUGACUCAUGGAACUGAUGACUCAUUUCAUUUCAGGGGGCUUCAGUCAAUGAAACCUGACUGGAACUUACAAGCACAUCCACCCCCACUCGCCGCCUGCCACGGAAACAACUAGAGAGACUGAGCGUCUCUCAGAUUGAGCAUGAAACACUCUCAGCUGCGUUCAGCCACAUUCGGGGUUGCACGUGUGCUACCGGGCAUUGUGCGGCUCAUCCCACCCCAACCCCUCUCCUCCUACCUCACCUCGCUUCACUCUGCCCUGCUCCCCCGCCCUGCAAAGGAACUGUUUAGUGAGGACUCCAACUGUUGGCGUCUAACAAGGCAGAACAAAGGCCCACGUGCUCAUGGAGUUCCAUUUGGAGCGCACAACAAUUUCAGAGCACAAAUGGAAAAAGAAAAAAAAAGAAGAAGGUUUGAAAUCUAUAGCUGGCUUUUAUCAAACCAGAACUUGUAGCUCUCAGCUGACAAUCAGCCAGUAGCUAAAACCCACGAGGGACGGCUCUGACUUGCAGCUUCUGACUGGCGAUUAGCUACCAGCAGCCUUCUGACCCUUUUUCCAGGGAAGUAACAGCUGGCAGUUGACAAAGGCGCUGGCAGAGCGGGUAACUUACGCUUCUCUGGGAACGGAUCUAAGAUUGGCAGGAAAUAAGGCAUUUAAAAUAUGACGAUUAUAAGCAUUUUCACUUGCCUUUUUUUUAUUAUGCUUUUGGAUUCUGGCUCUGAUUGCUAAAAUGUAUUAUGUGCUAAGGAGCUUUGAUGGUAUUUUUUGGAGAAGUAGAUGUCCCCGCGCUUUCCCUGUCACUAACACCAGCGCUUCAGCCCAGAAAAACGUGCAUUCUAUGAGUGUUUUCUACGUGGCCCUCUUGAAAACAAUUCUUAAUAACAAACAUGAUAGACUAAUGGCCGUGAGAUUACACGAGCUUAAGUGAAGUGCUGCCGGCUAAUUAAAGCACAGCUUUGGCUCAUUCAGGGCUGCUGGGUAGGGCCUUCUGUGGUGUUGCAGCAGUUGGGGAGAAAAGUAGAAAUUGGGAUGAAGUGUAGAUGGAUUAACCAGCAGUAGAUUGAAGAACAAUUUAGCCUCAUUUCUCUCUUUUAUGUACCACGCAGCCCUCCAUUUUUUUUUUUUGUCACAAAGGGCAGAGGUAGGAGGAUUACAACAAGCCGUCCUAGUAGAAAAGUCAGUGAUUGUGAGACGUGAUAACCGCCCUCACUCAAGAGAGUGGGAGGACACAGUGUGACGACUCCACACUUACGCCUCUUGGGUCCUAGCUGCUUUGUUGCUGUGACUCUUUUUGUAGGACAUAGCACUUUGGGGUUGUAGCUAUUACACCAUCUGCAAUAUUGCUAUUUUAAUUUUGGUAAUAAUAAUACAAGCUGCUUAUUAAAAUGGUUGACUUCUAUUGAAUGUUUUAAUUAAAAUGUAGAUGUUCAACAGGGUGCAAGUGUUCAUGCCUGUAGUCUCAACACUUUGAGAGGCUGAAGCAGGUGGAUCACUUAAGUCCGGGAGUUC